rnacentral:tRNA from 1 species
GGUUGUAGCUCAGUGGUAGAGCGCUUGCCUAGCAUGUGUGAGGCACUGGGUUCAAUUCUCAGCACCA